rnacentral:rRNA from 1 species
AUUGAACGCUGGCGGCAGGCCUAACACAUGCAAGUCGAGCGGAUGAAGGGAGCUUGCUCCUGGAUUCAGCGGCGGACGGGUGUGUAAUGCCUAGGAAUCUGCCUGGUAGUGGGGGAUAACGUCCGGAAACGGGCGCUAAUACCGCAUACGUCCUGAGGGAGAAAGUGGGGGAUCUUCGGACCUCACGCUAUCAGAUGAGCCUAGGUCGGAUUAGCUAGUUGGUGGGGUAAAGGCCUACCAAGGCGACGAUCCGUAACUGGUCUGAGAGGAUGAUCAGUCACACUGGAACUGAGACACGGUCCAGACUCCUACGGGAGGCAGCAGUGGGGAAUAUUGGACAAUGGGCGAAAGCCUGAUCCAGCCAUGCCGCGUGUGUGAAGAAGGUCUUCGGAUUGUAAAGCACUUUAAGUUGGGAGGAAGGGCAGUAAGUUAAUACCUUGCUGUUUUGACGGUACCAACAGAAGAAGCACCGGCUAACUUCGUG